rnacentral:rRNA from 1 species
ACCGCAUAAGCGCACGAGGACCGCAUGGUCCGGUGUGAAAAACUCCGGUGGUAUGGGAUGGGCCCGCGUCUGAUUAGCUAGUUGGCGGGGCAGAGGCCCACCAAGGCGACGAUCAGUAGCCGACCUGAGAGGGUGACCGGCCACAUUGGGACUGAGACACGGCCCAAACUCCUACGGGAGGCAGCAGUGGGGAAUAUUGCACAAUGGGGGAAACCCUGAUGCAGCGACGCCGCGUGAGUGAAGGAGUAUUUCGGUAUGUAAAGCUCUAUCAGCAGGGAAGAAGAAUGACGGUACCUGACUAAGAAGCACCGGCUAAAUACGUGCCAGCAGCCGCGGUAAUACGUAUGGUGCAAGCGUUAUCCGGAUUUACUGGGUGUAAAGGGAGCGCAGGCGGUACGGCAAGUCUGAUGUGAAAGCCCGGGGCUCAACCCCGGUACUGCAUUGGAAACUGUCGGACUAGAGUGUCGGAGGGGUAAGUGGAAUUCCUAGUGUAGCGGUGAAAUGCGUAGAUAUUAGGAGGAACACCAGUGGCGAAGGCGGCUUACUGGACGAUAACUGACGCUGAGGCUCGAAAGCGUGGGGAGCAAACAGGAUUAGAU